GGUUAAGUUAAUAAGGGCGCACGGUGGAUGCCUUGGCACUAGGAGCCGAAGAAGGACGGCACUAACACCGAUAUGCCUCGGGGAGCUGUAAGUGAGCUGUGAUCCGGGGAUUUCCGAAUGGGGAAACCCACUGUUCGUAAUGGAGCAGUAUCCAUGUGUGAAUACAUAGCACAUGAGAAGGCAGACUCAGGGAACUGAAACAUCUAAGUACCUGAAGGAAGAGAAAGCAAAUGCGAUUCCCCAAGUAGCGGCGAGCGAAACGGGAUCAGCCCAAACCAGAAGGCUUGCCUUCUGGGGUUGUAGGACACUCUAUACGGAGUUACAAAGGAACGGAUUAAGCGAAGCGACCUGGAACGGUCCGCAAGAUAGGGUAAUAGCCCCGUAGCUGAAAGUUCGUUCCCUCCAGAGUGGAUCCUGAGUACGGCGGAACACGAGAAAUUCCGUCGGAAUCCGGGAGGACCAUCUCCCAAGGCUAAAUACUCCCUAGUGACCGAUAGUGAACCAGUACCGUGAGGGAAAGGUGAAAAGCACCCCGGAAGGGGAGUGAAAUAGAUCCUGAAACCGUGUGCCUACAAGUAGUUAGAGCCCGUUAAUGGGUGAUAGCGUGCC
rnacentral:rRNA from 1 species